rnacentral:rRNA from 1 species
AUUGAACGCUGGCGGCAGGCCUAACACAUGCAAGUCGAGCGGAGCGGCGGACGGGUGAGUAAUACCUAGGAAUCUGCCUGGUAGUGGGGGAUAAAGUUCGGAAACGGAAGCUAAUACCGAAUACUAUCAAAUGAGCCUAGGUCGGAUUAGCUAGUUGGUGAGGUAAUGGCUCACCAAGGAUACGGGCCGUAACUGGUCUGAGGGGAGGAUCAGUCACACGGUAACUGAGACACGGUCCAGACUCCUACGGGAGGCAGCAGUGGGGAAUAUUGGACAAUGGGCGAAAGCCUGAUCCAGCCAUGCCGCGUGUGUGAAGAAGGUCUUCGGAUUGUAAAGCACUUUAAGUUGGGAGGCGUUACCGACAGAAUAAGCACCGGCUAACUCUGUGCCAGCAGCCGCGGUAAUUC